rnacentral:rRNA from 1 species
GACGAACGCUGGCGGCGUGCUUAACACAUGCAAGUCGAACGGAAAGGCCCUGCUGUUGUGGGGUGCUCGAGUGGCGUACGGGUGAGUAACACGUGAGUAACCUGCCCUUGACUUUGGGAUAACUUCAGGAAACUGGGGCUAAUACCGGAUAGGAGCUCCUGCUGCAUGGUGGGGGUGGGAAAGUUUCGGCGGUUGGGGAUGGACUCGCGGCUUAUCAGCUUGUUGGUGGGGUAGUGGCUUACCAAGGCUUUGACGGGUAGCCGGCCUGAGAGCGUGACCGGCCACAUUGGGACUGAGAUACGGCCCAGACUCCUACGGGAGGCAGCAGUGGGGAAUAUUGCACAAUGGGCGGAAGCCUGAUGCAGCAACGCCGCGUGCGGGAUGACGGCCUUCGGGUUGUAAACCGCUUUCGCCUGUGACGAAGCGUGAGUGACGGUAAUGGGUAAAGAAGCACCGGCUAACUACGUG